UCAGCUUUUGGAAAUGUACUCACGGGGUUGAAGAAGACACAUCCUGCAUGUUCGACGGUGAAUGCAUCACAGGCGUCAAAGCAGACCGCUGCGUCUGGCAGUGG
rnacentral:lncRNA from 1 species